GCAACAGUGGCCACACCCCCUUUGGGCGUGGCUUCGGACAGAAGCAAAAAGAGAAAAGUGUGAGGCAUUCUCUCUCUCUCUCUCUCUCUCUCUCUCUCUCUCUCUCUCUCUCUCUCUGUGUGUGUGUGUGUGUGUGUGUGUGUGUGUGUGUGUGUGUGUGUGUCUGUCUGUCUGUCUGUCUGACUGACUGUCUGUCUGUCUCUGUCUCUGUCUUUCUUGGGUCAGCGGAUCCGAUUGGAAGGGCAGAGAAACGUUGUGAUGGUUCUUUACUAUUAUCUGUGAGAAUGCAGCCCACUGUGGAAGUCACCAUCCCUAGGCAGGCGGAACUGAGCUAUACAGGAAAAAGGUAGCCUUGCUGUGCACCAACAAACAGUGUUUUCCUGGGGCUUCUGUUUCAAGUUUCUACUUUCAGUGAUGGACUGUGACCUGGAAGGGCAAUUGGAAUAAACCCUCUCCUCCCCUGAGAACCUGUCAUCUUCAUGCCAGCUAGAUGAAAGACUCCAGAGAGGCUGCGGCGGUCAGAAUAUCAACAACAGAAAUUUGUUUGUAAUAUGCUUGGCUUCUUGCCACCAUGGAGGUGAGUGAAUUCAGCACAGGUAUUGGGCAUCACUUCUUUUGGUGUGGUGCCUUUACCAUGGCAACAGUGCUGCAGGGACCAAAGAGUCCUGAAAGAGACAACAGAUAACUCUGAUCCAGAAGCCUCUGGAGGCUGUUGGUCCUUCUCAAUUCCACAUCCCUGAGAGCAAAGAUGGGUGCUCCGUGCUGGGAAGUCCUGAAGACCCUACCAGACCCUACCCAACCCCUGCUCCAGUAUAACCAGGUUGUGGCCCCAACCUCAGGAUCCUACCUCAAAUGCUGAGCAAACAUGGAUCUGUACAUGUGAUAACUCACACAAAAAUGUUCAUUUUUUGUCUAUGUUGAUAACCGUGUUAAU
rnacentral:lncRNA from 1 species